rnacentral:lncRNA from 1 species
CCACAGCCACAGCAAUGCCAGGUCCGAGCUGCAUCUGUGACCUGCACCACAGCUCACAGCAACACCAGAUCCUUAACCCACUGAUCGAGGCCAGAGAUCAUACCCACAUCCUCAUGAAUAUUAGUCGGGUUUGUAACCCGCUGAGCCACAGUGGGAACUCCCCACUCAGCACUUUUGAAUUCAUGACGUCCAAUUAACUUCAGAGAAACAAGGAAUACAGCCUAAGAAAAUACAGUAUGUAUCCAGGGGAGGGUUUCAAAACUACAAAUCUGCUGUAUCCAACUCCUGAACCUUUCGAAGUAUAGGCGCUCUUUGCCCGGAGAGCAAUUUAGUCCUGCAGAAGACAGCUCUGUCCUGGGGCCUGACGAUUGUCAGUAACAAGGCGUGAGCAUCAGCCUAAGUCCCAACUUCAAAAGAAAUAUAAGCACCGUGUCCCUAAACUCUCCGACCAGAUCAGCACUGGGUCCCCAGGUGGACGAGGAGUCACGUCCCAUCCCCAGUUGCCCCCAAACCACGCAUUCCUCUCACUGUCCGCAGCGGUCCUUUGCAUAUGGUUUAACCUAAACCAGGGUCCUUUAUAAAAGGGCUUGUGUUUAACUUUAUUCUCUUUCAUUCCAGUGCUUUCUUCCAGCUACCCAAUCUGUCCCUAAUUAAAAUCAUAUGGAGGCAAACGUUGACUGGUAUGAAAAGUUUUACCAUAUGUAUACAAUUGACGGGCUGUAGAAUUUGGCAUGUCUGCAGUGAUCCCAUGAAGAGGGGCGAGCCUGGCUUAUUUUGGAGUGUAUGUUAUGUGUUUUGGAACCAUCCUGUGUUUGAACGUCGACCAAGACUGCCUGUGACGCUUAACCCUUUGUCGACGUCCAGCACCUACAUGUCAGUAGGGCCAUUGCACCCACGCCUGAAAAUGAUCUGGCGCCUGAAGGAAGGCUUCUUGGAAAAGUUUCCAUUUUCUGAACCCAAGUGAGCUUUCCCAGUCUCGGCAAACAAAGGCUACGCAGAUGCCAUCGGAGCCUCCGGGAUGGAGUGGAACUGAUGGAGUCAUCGCUUCCCAAUCCUAAAGGCAGAAGGCACUCCCCGAAGCUUGAAAGAGGUAAUUUUAGGACAAAAAGAGGAAGCGCUGCGCUACUGUUGAUAAUAAAAAUAUGAAACGUAUGUCCCAAGAGAUAGCAGAUAAAAUAUAAAGGGAUUCAAGGAGUUUAGCAAAGGUCAUGCUGACAGAUCCACCUUUGAAGAACAUUCCAGACAUUCUGGAGACCGGGGAAGGAAAACAUAUCUUUCCACCUUAUCACAUACCCCACUCCACCCACUGGCCUGCACCACAGUAAAAAGCUUGAGGAGAAAGAAUCUGAGUUCAGAUGGGCCUCUGGUCUGACUCUGGGUCACUGUACUCAGACUUGAUCUACUUUGUAAUUAAUAUAGCUGUAAAGUUGCAAUUUUGCUUUAAGGCAUUCUUCGAUAUAGAUUUCAGAAUGAAUUAAAACGUCUCUCUUGGAGUUCCCGUCGUGGCUCAGCAGUUAGCCUGACUAGCAUCCAUGAGGAUGCGGAUUUGAUUCCUGGCCUCGCUCACUGGGUGAAGGAUCUGGCCUUGCUCUGAGCUGUGGUGUAGGUGGCAGAUGUGGCUCAGAUCUGGCAUUGCUUCGCUGUGGCUGUGGCGUGGGCUGGCGGCUAUAGCUCCAGUUCAGCCCCUAGCCUGGGAACCU